rnacentral:misc_RNA from 1 species
GAUGAAGAACGUAGCGAAAUGCGAUACGUAAUGUGAAUUGCAGAAUUCAGUGAAUCAUCGAAUCUUUGAACGCAUAUUGCGCUCUCUGGUAUUCCGGAGAGCAUGCUUGUUUGAGUAUCAGUAAACACCUCAACUCCCUUUUCUUUUUUGAAAUUGGAGCUGGACUUGAGUGAUCCCAACGCUUUCUUCCAAGAAAGUGGCGGGUUGCUUGAAAUGCAGGUGCAGCUGAACUUUUCUCUGAGCUAUAAGCAUAUCUAUUUAGUCUGCCUAAAAAACAGAUUAUUACCUUUGCUGCAGCUAACAUAAAGGAGACUAGUUCUUGAGCUGACUGAUGCAGGAUUCACAGAGACAGCUUCGGCUGACUUUGUAAACUCGAUCUCAAAUCAAGUAAGACUACCCGCUGAACUUAAGCAUAUCAAUAAGCGGAGGA